CCAAAAAUCCACCAUUAGAGCACAUAAAGAUUCCAUGAGUUUUCAUGGAGUUCAUGCCUCAAGAAGGUUUCUACCCUUGUAGAAGUUCCAAAACCAAAGUUCUAGGGCUCAAAUCCAAACCCUAGACCCAACUUUCCUUAAAAUCUCACCUUGGUCACAAGCUCACCCAAGUCCACCUUGUUGGAGAGCUUCAAGACCUUCCACAAGCUCCAAAUCCCUCCAAAAAUCAUUCUCCUCCUACUCCUCCUUGCUCUUUGGGGAGAUUUCGACAGAGAGAAAGAGAGAAAUGAGAGAGAGUGAGGUGUGUGCUGUGAAAGAGAGAGGGGAGGGUGUUUGGGGUAUUAACAUAUUGUAACAAUUACAAAAAAAACCGUCCACUUCUUUCUAUUUACAGCAGAUUUCAUUGUUGCUGUCAGACCAAAGUGUACCGGUACACUUUGUUCUGUCACCAGUUACACGAUUACGUGGAGAGCAAACCCGAGAGCUGCUGUUCAAACCUUGCCGAAGUGUACCAGUACACACCAGGGAUGUCACCGGUAACACGAUUGCGCAGAGGCAAACCCGAGAGCAAUUCAUCUCGGGUUGCAGUGUUGUACCGGUACAACAUCAAUAUUGUACCGGUACACUUUGCCCAGACUUCAAAUUUGCAUCAUUUUCGAUUCUAUUUCGCGCCGGUCGAAACUAAAACCCUUCUAACCCUUCUUAAACUCACUUUCAACCCUUCCAACAUUGUUGGAACAAUAAUUGGAACUUGUCCAAUUAUUCCUUUUGCGUACUUUAGUCAAUUUGGCUAAAGUUUGAUAUUUUCUACCGAGUUUCGGUACGUUACAUUCUCCUCCCCUUAAAAUUAGUUUCGUCCGCGAAACUAACUUGAUUAAAACCCAGAUUCCAUACCGCAAUCCAGAUUCUCGAAAA
rnacentral:lncRNA from 1 species